AGCGGACUUUCUGAGGACCUCAAGCCCAGGACACAGCCUCUCAGAUAGCUCUGAGGGACUGUUCCCAAGAGGACCAUCUGACCCAGUGAGGGAGUAGUGAAUCUGCUUCCAUGUACGUCCUAGAGGUGGUCCUGGCUGCCAGCGGUUCCCCUGAUUCCUACUCUGUUUGCAGAAUCCUCAGAUCCUAACAGAGAGGCUGACCUCUGGCUUCCUGGGUGGGCUUCUCACCAGCAGUGUCACCUGCUCUGAGAAUCUAGGUACUCUUCCAUUCUCCCAACAAAAUGUCGGUGCUGGCUACUGGGGGUAUGGAGCCAAAUAAGGAAGACACGGCCCCUAAUCCCAUGGAACGCCCAGUUGUCGUAUUGUGAUUUAUAAUAAAUGUGUACUUGGCCUUUGUCCCCACUUCUGGCACAGACCUCUGAAGUUGGAAUUUCCCUUGGAAUUUUCUGUGAUGAGAGCGUUAAAGGUGUCUUUUGUUGUGUUGCUGUUGACUUCUGGACCACACCUAGGGAUGGAGGCUGGUUGCCAGGAGAGCCCAUCAUGUGAUUAUAAGUUUCAGUUCCACCCCCUGACCUCGGGGCAGGGGAGAGGCGAUGGCGAAUGAGUUCAAUCGCCAGUGGCCAAUAAUGUAAUCAAUCGUGCCUACGUCAUGAAGCGCCCGUAAAAGCCCAGAAGGACUGAGUUCGGAGAACUUCCGGGUUGGGGAACAUGGAGUUGCUGGGAGAGUGUUGCACCUAGAGAGGGCACGGAAGGUCCGUGCUCUUUCCCCACAUCUUGUCCUAUGAAUCUCUUCCUUCUGGUCGUUCCUGAGUUGUA